AAGUAUGAAGUAAAAUUUACAUUUAGUUUCGACCUAAAAAUUAGAGUUAUAACUCCUUACUUA
rnacentral:tRNA from 1 species